CUCUGAGGAGCCAAGGAGCAGAGGGAACUGCCAUGAGGCCAUCACCCACCAGACCAUGGCGGGAACCACCCCCGCCGCCCUUCCACCUGGGUGUCCCGCAGACUGCUUCCACUGGCUCAGAAGGAGUUUGAGAAUUACUUAAGUGAGCCUCCCGGGCCGAGGAGCAUGGUGUCGCCAGGGCCGAGCCGACGUCCUGCAAUGUGCACUGGAUCUGGGGGGCGACAGAAAGUGACAGUCAAGAUCUAUGUGAGAUGGGCUGGACAGAGACAAUGUGCAGAGGCGCCACCUAAUACGCCGGCAAAGCCUGUGCCAGCUAGCUCAUGAAGGGCUGUGAUAUGGUUUGGCAAUGUGUCCCCAUCCAAAUCUCAUGUUAAAUUGUGAUCCCCAGAGUUGGAGGUGGGGCCUGGUGGGAGGUGAUUGGAUCAUUGGGGUAGUUUUGAAUGGUUUAGCCCCAGCCCCCUAGUGCUGUCUUGUGAUAGAGUUCUCAUGAGAUGUGGUUGUUUGAAAGUGUGUAGCACCUCCCUCUUCACACUCUCUCUCUCCUAUCAGCCAUGUGAAGAUGUACCUG
rnacentral:lncRNA from 1 species